rnacentral:rRNA from 1 species
GAUGAACGCUAGCUACAGGCUUAACACAUGCAAGUCGCGGGGCAGCAUGGGGGUUGCUUGCAAUCCCCGAUGGCGACCGGCGCACGGGUGAGUAACGCGUAUCCAACCUGCCCUUCACCACGGGAUAACCCGGCGAAAGUCGGACUAAUACCGUAUGUUGUCCAUUGACGGCAUCCGAUUUGGACGAAAGGUUUGGCGGUGAAGGAUGGGGAUGCGUCCGAUUAGCUGGACGGCGGGGUGACGGCCCACCGUGGCGACGAUCGGUAGGGGUUCUGAGAGGAAGGUCCCCCACACUGGAACUGAGACACGGUCCAGAAUCCUACGGGAGGCAGCAGUGAGGAAUAUUGGUCAAUGGGCGUAAGCCUGAACCAGCCAAGUAGCGUGCAGGAUGACGGCCCUAUGGGUUGUAAACUGCUUUUAUGCGGGGAUAAAGUGGCCCACGUGUGGGUUUUUGCAGGUACCGCAUGAAUAAGGACCGGCUAAUUCCGUG